rnacentral:rRNA from 1 species
GACGAACCGUGCGAACGUUAUUCGGAUUCACUGGGCUUAAAGGGCGCGUAGGCGGGCCGUAAAGUCGGGGGUGAAAUCUUUCAGCUCAACUGGAAAGAGCCUUCGAUACUGACGGCCUCGAGGGAGGUAGGGGCGUGCGGAACUUCCGGUGGAGCGGUGAAUGCGUAGAGAUCGGAAGGAACGCCGGUGGCGAAAGCGGCGCGCUGGACCUCUU